CGUAUUUUGAAAAAAAAUACGACUCAAAAAAUUAAGUAUCAUGAGGGCAGACUAAUCAUUUAUCCCGAUGCAGGAUCAAUUGUUCCCUCACAUCAGGCAGUAUCGAUCAUAACAAAUAUUAUAAAAGAGAAGUACACACAAUUCUGGCCGUCUUAUGGAGCUGUACAUGAAGAUGAAAAGGAAAAAUGGUUUCAGGCAUUUCAGGAGCAUUGUGUUUGGGAUGUUAGAGAUGAGGCCGCGAUUAAAGAAAACUUUGACACAAAAUGUGCUGCUCGAUUUUCUGAUACCAUGAGGAAUGUUAG